rnacentral:rRNA from 1 species
UGGGGAAUUUUGCACAAUGGGGGAAACCCUGAUGCAGCGACGCCGCGUGAUUUAGAAGGCCUUCGGGUUGUAAAAAUCUUUUCUAUGGGAAGAAAAUGACAGUACCAUAGGAAUAAGGACCGGCUAAUUACGUGCCAGCAGCCGCGGUAAUACGUAAGGUCCGAGCGUUGUCCGGAAUCAUUGGGCGUAAAGGGUACGUAGGCGGGUAAGCAAGUUAGAAGUGAAAUCCUCUAGCUCAACUAUAGUAAGCUUUUAAAACUGCUCAUCUUGAGGUAUGGAAGGGAAAGUGGAAUUCCUAGGGUAGCGGUGAAAUGCGCAGAUAUUAGGAGGAAUACCGGUGGCGAAGGCGACUUUCUGGCCAUAACCUGACGCUGAGGAACGAAAGCGUGGGUAGCAAACAGG